CCCUCCCUCUUUCUUCAUGCCUAACACAUGCAAGUCGAACGAGCCCUUCGGGUCUAGUGGCGCACGGGUGCGUAACGCGUGGGAACCUGCCCUUAGGUUCGGAAUAACUCACCGAAAGGGGUGCUAAUACCGGAUAAUGUCUUCGGACCAAAGAUUUAUCGGCUAUGGAUGGGCCCGCGUUGGAUUAGCUAGUUGGUAGGGUAAAAGCCUACCAAGGCGACGAUCCAUAGCUGGUCUGAGAGGAUGAUCAGCCACACUGGGACUGAGACACGGCCCAGACUCCUACGGGAGGCAGCAGUGGGGAAUAUUGGACAAUGGGCGAAAGCCUGAUCCAGCAAUGCCGCGUGAGUGAUGAAGGCCUUAGGGUUGUAAAGCUCUUUUACCCGGGAUGAUAAUGACAGUACCGGGAGAAUAAGCUCCGGCUAACUCCGUG
rnacentral:rRNA from 1 species